GUCGACGAGUUCUCGUUGAUGAUCGGUGCUUGCACCGAGAUUCACAUGGAACGAGUGGCGGACGGGUGAGUAACACGUGGGUAACCUGCCCUUAAGUGGGGGAUAACAUUUGGAAACAGAUGCUAAUACCGCAUAGAUCCAAGAACCGCAUGGUUCUUGGCUGAAAGAUGGCGUAAGCUAUCGCUUUUGGAUGGACCCGCGGCGUAUUAGCUAGUUGGUGAGGUAAUGGCUCACCAAGGCGAUGAUACGUAGCCGAACUGAGAGGUUGAUCGGCCACAUUGGGACUGAGACACGGCCCAAACUCCUACGGGAGGCAGCAGUAGGGAAUCUUCCACAAUGGACGCAAGUCUGAUGGAGCAACGCCGCGUGAGUGAAGAAGGCUUUCGGGUCGUAAAACUCUGUUGUUGGAGAAGAAUGGUCGGCAGAGUAACUGUUGUCGGCGUGACGGUAUCCAACCAGAAAGCCACGGCUAACUACGUGCCAGCAGCCGCGGUAAUACGUAGGUGGCAAGCGUUAUCCGGAUUUAUUGGGCGUAAAGCGAGCGCAGGCGGUUUUUUAAGUCUGAUGUGAAAGCCCUCGGCUUAACCGAGGAAGCGCAUCGGAAACUGGGAAACUUGAGUGCAGAAGAGGACAGUGGAACUCCAUGUGUAGCGGUGAAAUGCGUAGAUAUAUGGAAGAACACCAGUGGCGAAGGCGGCUGUCUGGUCUGUAACUGACGCUGAGGCUCGAAAGCAUGGGUAGCGAACAGGAUUAGAUACCCUGGUAGUCCAUGCCGUAAACGAUGAAUGCU
rnacentral:rRNA from 1 species